rnacentral:tRNA from 1 species
UGCAAGAUGGAAUAAUCGGUUAGUUCACUAGGCUCAUGCCCUAGAAGUAUAGGUUCAAGUCCUAUUCUUGCAC